GUUCAUUGGGUUUGUUUACAAAAAUUCAAGCAUCCGGUUAAGAAGACGACAAAUAAGAAUGGUAUUAAUGUUGGUAGAAUGGAACUCCUUCCUGAUUCCUGCACAUGUAAGUUACCAGAUACUCUUGAGGGACCAAUUUAAGGGCAAACAGACAAACGUUUUGAUGCAAAGAAAGCAUUGGAUUUGAAAGUUCCCAUGGAGAAGAAAAAUGGAGAGAUUCUAAAAGUAUGAAGAUACUCCUGUGUAUAAUGAGGAAAUCUUGUCAGUGAAUGUUGUUGCAAUUGUGGACCAGGUCAGAGUUGUACUAAACCAACUAAGACACAAUGAGAUACAGGAAUGACACAAUGAGAAACAGGAAACAGGAAAGUGAUGACUGAUCGCCACCUGUUACAAAUUCAUCUAGAAAACUCCCCACAUCCAACAAGAGACAGUCUGACUUCAAAAUCUUCAUUGAAGGCAACUUAAUGGACAAGACAUCCGUCACAUAAAGAUUCACUAAAAUUGGAAUGAUAUACCAAUUUUAACUUUUAACAGACAAAUACAUUAUAGAUUUGAAAAUAGAUUACCCUUAGAUAAGUUGGAUGAUUAACAUUUACCUCAACACAGUACAAAGUGCUCAUGUUGAACUAUUGUGAUUGAUCAUAGUCUGUCCUUCAUUUUUAUUAACAGUUUCAUACAGUGUUAACACUUAGUAUGGGGACUCAUUUUUAGCUCAACUUUUCGAAGAAUAUGGAGAGCUAUACUACUCACCCAAGCGUCGGCGUCGGUGUCACCCCUUGGUUAAGGGUUUGCGUGCAAGCACACAUAGGUUAAUAUCUCAGCAACUACUUGAGGUAUUGCAUUGAGACUUUAUACAAUGGUACUCAACCAUCCAACCUACU